UACGGAGGGAGCUAGCGUUGUUCGGAAUUACUGGGCGUAAAGCGCGCGUAGGCGGCUUUGUAAGUUAGAGGUGAAAGCCCGGGGCUCAACCCCGGAACUGCCUUUAAAACUGCAUCGCUUGAAUCCGGGAGAGGUGAGUGGAAUUCCGAGUGUAGAGGUGAAAUUCGUAGAUAUUCGGAAGAACACCAGUGGCGAAGGCGGCUCACUGGACCGGUAUUGACGCUGAGGUGCGACAGCGUGGGGAGCGAACAGG
rnacentral:rRNA from 1 species